CCUACGGGUGGCAGCAGUGAGGAAUAUUGGUCAAUGGCCGAGAGGCUGAACCAGCCAAGUCGCGUGAGGGAAGACGGCCCUACGGGUUGUAAACCUCUUUUGUCGGGGAGCAAAGCGAGUCACGUGUGACUCAUUGAGAGUACCCGAAGAAAAAGCAUCGGCUAACUCCGUGCCAGCAGCCGCGGUAAUACGGAGGAUGCGAGCGUUAUCCGGAUUUAUUGGGUUUAAAGGGUGCGCAGGCGGAGGUGCAAGUCAGCGGUAAAAUUGCGGGGCUCAACCCCGUACUGCCGUUGAAACUGCAUCCCUUGAGUGCGCGAGAAGUAUGCGGAAUGGGUGGGGUAGCGGUGAAAUGCAUAGAUAUCACGAAGAACUCCGAUGGCGAAGGCAGCAUACCGGCGCGCAACUGACGCUCAUGAACGAAAGCGUGGGUAUCGAACAGGAUUAGAUACCCGGGUAGUC
rnacentral:rRNA from 1 species